GAGGCGGGCGCGCACCGGCCGUUGGUCGCCCCCCCGCCCCAAGCGCGCGCCGGCCCUUGGUCUUUCCCCCAGCGCGCGCCGGCCGUUGGCCGCCCCUCAGGCCGGGCCGGCGGCUCCCGCCUCAGAGCGGCCGCCUCGCGCCCUUGCGGCGCUGCUGUGGCGACUCGGCUCUCCCCGAUCGCCGGCAUCGGGCGCUGCCUCCAUCCCGCCUGGGGCGAGGAAGGAGAUGUCGGAGCCCAGCCGGGUGCAGAAGCUGCUGUCCAGGCACUUACUGCUCUCCUGUUGGUGCAGACAUGCGCGCUUUCCUUCUGCCUUCUCCCGCUAUCCGUGCUUGCCCACGAUGUCCUGCUGCCCCAUGGACGACCACCCUUGUAUCUCGCACUCUGGUUAUUUUAACUUGCAACAAAAUGUGUUUAGGGGCUAAAGCCCUGAUUUCAGCGCCUGGUUCACCUUGGUCACUUCUCACAGGGCUGUGCUGCCAGCGACAGAGUUGACUGUAACACCAGCAAGACAAACAAUUAAAAAUAAGCGCUGUAGGCAGUAGCAAGACCUGUGACCACAGCAAGAGGAGGGAGGACUGCAGCACAUCCACAAGGAGCUUUUCAGCAGUUUGGAAAGCAUCUGCAGGGCUCCUGGAGAAUUUCCACUGCAUUACCUGCGAGGAAGAGGAACUGCACUGCAUUACCUGCGAGGAAGAGGAACUGCACUGCCCCUGCUAAUGGUGAACUUGCAUUCUCCAAAGAAUUGCUGGAGCAGGUUUGUGGCCAGCACACUUCUUAGAAGCAGCCGACUCAUGCAAAAAUAGGAUGAGGUCAUCCCUUUCCAGUGUCUGAACAUUUUAUGCUGUGCUACUGUUUUGAGCACAUCUUCUUUUCCCUUAGGUACAUGUACAUCCCUCUCCAGACAGACAUUUUUUUUUUUCCAAAUUCAACAACUUAGUCUAGAAAAAUAAAAACAGAGAUUCUUGCCAGGAAAAAAAGAUAUUAAGACUUGGUUAUUCAGCCUCUGUUUAUCUCAGUUGGAAUAACUGAUGGCUGUUUUUCUUCUGCUCUUUGGCUGUUUCCCCUUCUCCAACUAGAGUUUAAAAACUUCAUAACAAUAUUUAAACUUCAAGUAAUAGUAAUAUCUAAACAUCCUAAAUCUUGAGGUGCCACUACUUAAGAUGCUUAGUCUUCAGAAUUUCUCAGUGUGCAACUUUUGCUAGGACUAUCUUUAGGAAGGCAAUGAUACCUGUUAUGCUUAAUGUAUUGAUAAAUUUUCAUUGCUUGAGGACUAACUAAGAAGCUAUGCUCAAAUGGGCAUAAGUGUAGCAUAUAUUAAAUGCUAAAAAUACCAUUGCUAUUUUGCUAGAAGAAAACAACAAGCAUCUGAUUUUUUCUUUUGAUGGUCUUGGCUCUGUGAUUCUGAGCUGGUUUUUAAUGGUCUGAAAGAAAACUUAAAAUGAACACACAUGCAGUUUUCAAAUAACAUGCAAGUUGGAGGACAGGUCAGUUAUACAAACAUGUCUCUAAAGCUUGAUAGGGAGCAUAUGUAUAAAUAAUUUGCUUCUUAACAAAGCCAAAUAGAAUGCCAAGGAAAAAGGGUGGUGAGGAACUGGGAACUGUAUCCUGGAAAAGUGUGAUUCUGAAAUGAGCGGGGACAUGACCCAUAGCAAAUCAAGUGCAAACCCUGAGUUUGGUGUUGUAGCUGAAAUCAGAGUAGUUCAGGUCCUUCAGAGGACCUUUAACUAGAAUAAGGAGGUGUUGUUAUAAUUAUGUACAGUAUAGGGAAGUAUUUUGUCUAGAUCUGGUUUAU